UAGGGAAUCUUCCACAAUGGACGAAAGUCUGAUGGAGCAACGCCGCGUGAGUGAAGAAGGGUUUCGGCUCGUAAAACUCUGUUGUUAAAGAAGAACAUAUCUGAGAGUAACUGUUCAGGUAUUGACGGUAUUUAACCAGAAAGCCACGGCUAACUACGUCCAG
rnacentral:rRNA from 1 species